GCCAGAGAGGGUGAGAGCCCCGUAAGCGAAAUCCAAAGGAGGCCUAUCAGUAUCCUGAGUAGGGCGGGACACGUGAAAUCCCGUUUGAAUCCGCGAGGACCAUCUCGCAAGGCUAAAUACUAACCAGUGACCGAUAGUGAACCAGUACCGUGAGGGAAAGGUGAAAAGAACCCCGGGAGGGGAGUGAAAGAGAACCUGAAACCGUGUGCCUACAAGUAGUCAGAGCCCGUUAACGGGUAAUGGCGUGCCUUUUGUAGAAUGAACCGGCGAGUUGCGUUAGUCAGCAAGGUUAAGUCAGAAAAGACGGAGCCGUAGCGAAAGCGAGUCUGAAGAGGGCGAGCAGUUGGCUGACGCAGACCCGAAACCAAGUGACCUACCCAUGACCAGGUUGAAGGCGCGGUAAAACGCGCUGGAGGACCGAACCCACGUAAGUUGAAAAUUGCGGGGAUGAGUUGUGGGUAGCGGUGAAAUUCCAAACGAACUUGGAGAUAGCUGGUUCUCUCCGAAAUAGCUUUAGGGCUAGCCUCGCAAAGAGGAUGCUGGAGGUAGAGCUCUGUUUGGACUAGGGGCCCGUCAAGGGUUACUGAAUUCAGAUAAACUGCGAAUUCCAGACAUUUAUGUGCGGGAGUCAGACUGCGAGUGAUAAGAUCCGUAGUCGAAAGGGAAACAGCCCAGAUCACCAGUUAAGGUCCCAAAAUUCAUGCUAAGUGGAAAAGGAUGUGGAGUUGCGCAGACAACUAGGACGUUGGCUCAGAAGCAGCCAUCAUUCAAAGAGUGCGUAAUAGCUCACUAGUCGAGUGACGCCGCGCCGAAAAUUUACCGGGGCUAAGCAUGAUACCGAAACUGUGGAUGUGCGUUUAUGCACGUGGUAGGAGAGCGUUCUAGCGGCGGUGAAGCAUGACCGAGAGGACAUGUGGAGCUUCUAGAAGUGAGAAUGCCGGUAUGAGUAACGAAAGACAGGUGAGAAUCCUGUCCGCCGCAAGACUAAGGUUUCCUGGGGCAGGCUCGUCCGCCCAGGGUAAGUCGGGACCUAAGGCGAGGCCGAGAGGCGUAGUCGAUGGACAACAGGUUGAAAUUCCUGUACUGCACCGAAUCGUUAUGAGCGAUGGAGGGACGCAGGAGGCUAGCAGCGCGUGGUGCUGGAUACCACGUUCAAGCGUCAAGUCUGAGAGCGAGUCAAAUGCUUGCUCUCAUAAGGACAAGGCGUGAUGAGGAGCGAAAUUAAAGUAGCGAAGGCUGCGACGUCACACUGCCGAGAAAAGCUUCUAGCCAGAGACGGUGCACCCGUACCGCAAACCGACACAGGUAGUCGAGGAGAGUAUCCUCAGGUGAGCGAGAGAACUCUCGUUAAGGAACUCGGCAAAAUGGCCCCGUAACUUCGGGAGAAGGGGCGCUGGUCGCAAGAUCAGCCGCAGUGAAAAGGCCCAAGCAACUGUUUAUCAAAAACACAGGCAUCUGCAAAAUCGUAAGAUGAAGUAUAGGUGCUGACACCUGCCCGGUGCUGGAAGGUUAAGAGGAGAGCUUAGCGCAAGCGAAGGUUUGAAUUGAAGCCCCAGUAAACGGCGGCCGUAACUAUAACGGUCCUAAGGUAGCGAAAUUCCUUGUCGGGUAAGUUCCGACCUGCACGAAAGGUGUAAUGAUUUGGGCACUGUCUCAACGAGAGACUCGGUGAAAUUAUAAUACCCGUGAAGAUGCGGGUUACCCGCGACAGGACGGAAAGACCCCAUGGAGCUUUACUGCAGUUUAAUAUUGGGUAUCUGUCAAGCAUGUACAGGAUAGGUAGGAGCCGGAGAAGAUAGGACGCCAGUCUUAUCUGAGGCGCUGUUGGGAUACUACCCUUGCUUGACGGAUGCUCUAACUUAGGCCUGUGAUCCAGGCCGAGGACAGUGUUUGACGGGCAGUUUGACUGGGGCGGUCGCCUCCUAAAGUGUAACGGAGGCGCCCAAAGGUUCCCUCAGAAUGGUUGGAAAUCAUUCGCAGAGUGUAAAGGUAAAAGGGAGCUUGACUGCGAGAGAGACAACUCGAGCAGGUACGAAAGUAGGGCUUAGUGAUCUGGUGGUACCGUAUGGAAGGGCCAUCACUCAACGGAUAAAAGCUACCCUGGGGAUAACAGGCUUAUCUCCCCCAAGAGUUCACAUCGACGGGGAGGUUUGGCACCUCGAUGUCGGCUCGUCGCAUCCUGGGGCUGAAGUCGGUCCCAAGGGUUGGGCUGUUCGCCCAUUAAAGCGGCACGCGAGCUGGGUUCAGAACGUCGUGAGACAGUUCGGUCCCUAUCCGUCGUGGGCGCAGGAAAUUUGAGAGGAGCUGUCCUUAGUACGAGAGGACCGGGAUGGACGCACCGCUGGUGUACCAGUUGUCUUGCCAAAGGCAUCGCUGGGUAGCUAUGUGCGGACGGGAUAAGCGCUGAAAGCAUCUAAGUGCGAAGCCCCCCUCAAGAUGAGAUUUCCCAUUUCUUCAAGAAAGUAAGACACCUCAGAGACGAUGAGGUAGAUAGGCCGGGAGUGGAAGAGCCGUGAGGCUUGGAGCGGACCGGUACUAAUCAGUCGAGGACUUGACCAAA
rnacentral:rRNA from 1 species